rnacentral:rRNA from 1 species
UACGUAGGGGGCAAGCGUUGUCCGGAAUCAUUGGGCGUAAAGAGCGUGUAGGCGGCCCGAUAAGUCCGCCGUGAAAGCCCAGGGCUCAACCCUGGGAUGCCGGUGGAUACUGUCGGGCUAGAAUCCGGAAGAGGCGAGUGGAAUUCCUGGUGUAGCGGUGAAAUGCGCAGAUAUCAGGAGGAACACCGAUGGCGAAGGCAGCUCGCUGGGACGGUAUUGACGCUGAGGUGCGAAAGCGUGGGGAGCAAACAGG